rnacentral:rRNA from 1 species
UGAACGCUGGCGGCGUGCCUAAUACAUGCAAAUCGAGCGAACAGACGAGGAGCUUGCUCCUCUGACGUUAGCGGCGGACGGGUGAGUAACACGUGGAUAACCUACCUAUAAGACUGGGAUAACUUCGGGAAACCGGAGCUAAUACCGGAUAAUAUAUUGAACCGCAUGGUUCAAUAGUGAAAGACGGUUUUGCUGUCACUUAUAGAUGGAUCCGCGCCGCAUUAGCUAGUUGGUAAGGUAACGGCUUACCAAGGCAACGAUGCGUAGCCGACCUGAGAGGGUGAUCGGCCACACUGGAACUGAGACACGGUCCAGACUCCUACGGGAGGCAGCAGUAGGGAAUCUUCCGCAAUGGGCGAAAGCCUGACGGAGCAACGCCGCGUGAGUGAUGAAAGUCUUCGGAUCGUAAAACUCUGUUAUUAGGGAAGAACAAAUGUGUAAGUAACUAUGCACGUCUUGACGGUACCUAAUCAGAAAGCCACGGCUAACUACGUG